rnacentral:rRNA from 1 species
GACCAACGCUGGCGGCGUGCUUAACACAUGCAAGUCGAACGGAAAGGCCCUGCUUUUGUGGGGUGCUCGAGUGGCGAACGGGUGAGUAACACGUGAGUAACCUGCCCUUGACUUUGGGAUAACUUCAGGAAACUGGGGCUAAUACCGGAUAGGAGCUCCUGCUGCAUGGUGGGGGUUGGAAAGUUUCGGCGGUUGGGGAUGGACUCGCGGCUUAUCAGCUUGUUGGUGGGGUAGUGGCUUACCAAGGCUUUGACGGGUAGCAGGCCUGAGAGGGUGACCGGCCACAUUGGGACUGAGAUACGGCCCAGACUCCUACGGGAGGCAGCAGUGGGGAAUAUUGCACAAUGGGCGGAAGCCUGAUGCAGCAACGCCGCGUGCGGGAUGACGGCCUUCGGGUUGUAAACCGCUUUCGCCUGUGACGAAGCGUGAGUGACGGUAAUGGGUAAAGAAGCACCGGCUAACUACGUG